rnacentral:lncRNA from 1 species
CACUUACUGCCCGGGCCCUUCCUCACUUUUGGGGGGCGGGGGUGCGCAAGCGCAGUGGGGGAGCUCUGGGGUGGGGGUAGCGGUCGAGUAUCAAGUUGCUUUCUGUCCCGGCAGAGGAAGCCAGAUCGCUGAGGGUCCGGUCUCCAGUUUGCCUCCUGCUAUAUCCAUUGGAAGAGAAAAGUUUGUGACUUGGGCCCCCAAGUUUUGAGAGAACUGGGCUUUCGGCGCGGGGGGACAGAGGAGGCUCGUGGGGAGCUUUCCCCAUGGAGCUUACCCAGCCUGCAGAAGACCUCAUCCAGACCCAGCAGACCCCUGCCUCAGAACUUGGGGACCCUGAAGACCCCGGAGAGGAGGCUGCAGAUGGCUCAGACACUGUGGUCCUCAGUCUCUUUCCCUGCACCCCUGAGCCUGUGAAUCCUGAACCGGAUGCCAGUGUUUCCUCUCCACAGGGCAGCUCCCUGAAGCACUCCACCACUCUCACCAACCGGCAGCGAGGGAACGAGGUGUCAGCUCUGCCGGCCACCCUAGACUGUGAGUGGGCCCACGGUCCCCAACAAGGAGAGGAGUAGGAGGGUGGGAGGGCCUGUGAGGAGCAAUCGUGGACAGAGGGUAAACUGAGGCACAGAGAAGCAAGGGGAUGAGUGAGGACUCUGCCUCUGUCCUGCCCCAGCCCUGUCCAUCCACCAGCUCGCAGCACAGGGGGAGCUGGACCAGCUGAAGGAGCAUUUGCGGAAAGGUGCGUGUCCACACACAUGUGCUGGCAUGUCUGCACCUGGCUGGUGUGUGCAUAUGGGUGUCCAUACCCACUCAUGACGUGACCUGUGAGUGUCCACGUGUAUGAUUGUAUCUAACUGUGUGUGUGACCGUGUUCAUGUAUGUCCAUCAACAUACGCUCCCCCUCAUUCCCCUGUCUAACCC